CCUCCGCUCCCUCCAAUAACGAACAUGAUGAGUCUUAACAUCUCCAUAACGACGCCUGGUUCCGAUCGCCAAACCCUAGAUUAGGAUUUACUGCCGAUGAAGUUGUUUUUACCUUUUCGUUUCUUCGAUCCUUCACCGUUUUCUAUAUUCCAAGGCGCACGGCAAUGUCAACAUUUUAGCUUUGCGGUUGGUCAAUGUUGUCUCUGAAGGCGGCGGAGACGACGGCUGAGUUGAUACAUUGAACCAUUUGUUUCUUUAUCUGAUUGUGUCCAAGCCGGAGCAGAGGAAUAUUUUUAUUUCCCGAAUAGGUCCAGUUUUGAGGUCUUAGGAUGCUAUUUUGAAGGAAGUUAGGGCUAAUUGUGUCUGAAUUUGUUGCUUCAUGAUGCUUAUUCAGCCCUUGUGCUGCUUGCUCUAGAAAAUUUUGAACUCUUUCACUACCCUUUGGAGCGAGGCGGAUAUACUCCAAAGCUCUCACCUACAG